UGGGGAAUUUUGGACAAUGGGCGAAAGCCUGAUCCAGCAAUGCCGCGUGUGUGAAGAAGGCCUUCGGGUUGUAAAGCACUUUUGUCCGGAAAGAAAUCCUUGGCUCUAAUACAGUCGGGGGAUGACGGCACCGGAAGAAUAAGCACCGGCUAACUACGUGCCAGCAGCCGCGGUAAUACGUAGGGUGCAAGCGUUAAUCGGAAUUACUGGGCGUAAAGCGUGCGCAGGCGGUUUGCUAAGACCGAUGUGAAAUCCCCGGGCUCAACCUGGGAACUGCAUUGGUGACUGGCAGGCUAGAGUAUGGCAGAGGGGGGUAGAAUUCCACGUGUAGCAGUGAAAUGCGUAGAGAUGUGGAGGAAUACCGAUGGCGAAGGCAGCCCCCUGGGCCAAUACUGACGCUCAUGCACGAAAAGCGUGGGGGAGCAAAACAGGAUUAGAUACCCUGGUAGUCCAGCGCCCUAAAACGAUGUCAACUAGUUGUUGGGGAUUCAUUUCCUUAGUAACGUAGCUAACGCGUGAAGUUGACCGCCUGGGGAGUACGGUCGCAAGAUUAAAACUCAAAUGAAUUG
rnacentral:rRNA from 1 species